rnacentral:rRNA from 1 species
CUACGGGAUGCACCAGUGGGGAAUAUUGCACAAUGGAGGGAACUCUGAUGCAGCAACGCCGCGUGGAGGAUGACACAUUUCGGUGCGUAAACUCCUUUUAUAUAAGAAGAUAAUGACGGUAUUAUAUGAAUAAGCACCGGCUAACUCCGUGCCAGCAGCCGCGGUAAUACGGGGGGUGCAAGCGUUACUCGGAAUCACUGGGCGUAAAGAGCAUGUAGGCUGGUUUGUAAGUUGGAAGUGAAAUCCUAUGGCUUAACCAUAGAACUGCUUCCAAAACUACUUACCUAGAGUAUGGGAGAGGUAGAUGGAAUUUCUGGUGUAGGGGUAAAAUCCGUAGAGAUCAGAAGGAAUACCGAUUGCGAAGGCGAUCUACUGGAACAUUACUGACGCUCAGAUGCGAAAGCGUGGGGAGCAAACCGGAUUAGAUACCCCCGUAGUC